rnacentral:rRNA from 1 species
AGUGAACGCUGACGGCAGGCCUAACACAUGCAAGUCGAACGGCAGCACAGGGGAGCUUGCUCCCUGGGUGGCGAGUGGCGGACGGGUGAGGAAUACAUCGGAAUCUACCCUUUCGUGGGGGAUAACGUAGGGAAACUUACGCUAAUACCGCAUACGAUCUGAGGAUGAAAGCAGGGGACCGCAAGGCCUUGCGCGAUUGGAUGAGCCGAUGUCCGAUUAGCUAGUUGGCGGGGUAAAGGCCCACCAAGGCGACGAUCGGUAGCUGGUCUGAGGGGAUGAUCAGCCACACUGGAACUGAGACACGGUCCAGACUCGGACGGGAGGCAGCAGUGGGGAAUAUUGGACAAUGGGCGCAAGCCUGAUCCAGCCAGGCCGCGUGUGUGAAGAAGGCCUUCGGGUUGUAAAGCACUUUUGUUGGGAAAGAAAUCCUGUCGGCUAAUACCCGGCGGGGAUGACGGUACCCAAAGAAUAAGCACCGGCUAACUUCGUGCCAGCAGCCGCAGUAACAC